rnacentral:rRNA from 1 species
AUUGAACGCUGGCGGCAUGCCUUACACAUGCAAGUCGAACGGUAACAGGUCUUCGGAUGCUGACGAGUGGCGAACGGGUGAGUAAUACAUCGGAACGUGCCUAGUAGUGGGGGAUAACUACUCGAAAGAGUGGCUAAUACCGCAUGAGAUCUACGGAUGAAAGCAGGGGAUCGCAAGACCUUGUGCUACUAGAGCGGCCGAUGGCAGAUUAGGGAGUUGGUGGGAUAAAAGCUUACCAAGCCGACGAUCUGUAGCUGGUCUGAGAGGAAGGUCAGCCACACUGGGACUUGGACACGGCCCAGACUCCUACGGGAGGCAGCAGUGGGGAAUUUUAGACAAUGGGCGCAAGCCUGAGCCUGCAAUGCCGCGUGCAGGAUGAAGGCCUUCGGGUUGUAAACUGCUUUUGUACGGAACGAAAAGCCCUGGGUUAAUACCCUGGGGUCAUGACGGUACCGUAAGAAUAAGCACCGGCUAACUACGUGCCAGCAGCCGCGGUAAGAC